GGAUGUGAGGGUGAUCUGGAGGUGACAUCUGUCACCCCAUUGAUCGCCAGAGCUAAUUCUGCUGACCCAGCUGACUAAGUGGGUGUCCCUUCCUCCCUCAGUGCUCUGUGUGUGUCCCCCUGGAUCUGCAUGCUCAGUCAAAGAAGAACACCCCCCAUAGAAGGGGACCAUUCCUUGGUCAAAGUUGUAGCAGUAGCUGCGCUCCCUGCUAGGCCCUCCAACCAAGCUCUCAAGAGUACAGUCGAGAUCAGAAAGCAAAUGGAUUCCCAGGCGUGUCCCUUCUUGUUUCAACAUAAGAAUUUAA
rnacentral:snRNA from 1 species